CAUCGUUGUCUUGGCACGAGGCUGCCCAGUGACGUUCAGUCGGGCGACGCCUUGUGCACGAGACUUUAGAAAACACUGGUGUUGGCGUUGGUGGCUGCCUGACCACGAUGCCUUCUGCUGCGCAACUCCCGUCGUGGGCGGGGCUGCCGAAACCACAAACGAAAUCACAGCUUGAACCUCUGACUCGAUGUCUUUGCACGAGGCUGCCCAGUGACGUUCAGUUAGCC